CAGAUCCUGGGAUUGUGUCUGGAGAGUGCCUAGUAUUCUUCCACCUUCAGAAAGGGAGGGAAAGCAAGCCUAGCAGAGGCAUUUGUUCCAUUCCCAGCUUGUGCCGUAGUUGGCAAUUGGAAAACAUUCUGCAACAAUG
ensembl:snoRNA